UACGGGGGGGGCAAGCGUUGUUCGGAAUUACUGGGCGUAAAGGGCUCGUAGGUGGCCAACUAAGUCAGACGUGAAAUCCCUCGGCUUAACCGGGGAACUGCGUCUGAUACUGGAUGGCUUGAGAUUGGGAGAUGGAUGCGGAAUUCCAGGUGUAGCGGUGAAAUGCGUAGAUAUCUGGAGGAACACCGGUGGCGAAGGCGGCAUCCUGGACCAACACUGACACUGAGGAGCGAAAGCCAGGGGAGCAAACGGG
rnacentral:rRNA from 1 species